CCGAAAUAACCUCCGGGUCAGAUCAGUUUGAUUUGGAUCUUAUUUAAUGUUUCAUCUCUCUUAUCAUUCUCACUGUCGCUUUUUCUCCAAACCCUAAAUGAACCAAAUGCCGCAUCUUUUUUAGAGAAAUCAAUCGAAACAAAGCCAAAUACGAUGUCACAUUCGACUCAUUCUUUGUUCUUCGUCUUCUCCGAUUGAAGAUUAUUUUCUGAUGUAAUCGUCGCUCCUCUUCAUCAUCAAUCGCAAUAGCGACAAAAGUUUUAAUCGGUUCACGGCUAGGCUCUCUCAUCAUGAUUUUUUAUUGUUCCAUUGGACUUUAAUAUAUAUGCUGGAUAUUCUGAUGAAGAUAUUGACCAACAAGUUAUCAAAAUCAAGGUUUUUUUUUUGUGAAAUGGAAGAUCCUGUAGAACAACAACUUAUCAACAAACAGAACUGAAACUAUUACCCACCAGGUGUUCGAUGAAAUGCCUCAUGUUUGAUCCUAACCCUAAAUAUGUUAGUCAUUAUUUGCAAUUUGUGCGUUUGAUUAAAUGCCUAUUGAGGUUUGAUCUUUUUAAAAUCUGAACUAGAUUUGUUUUCAUUUAGAUGAGUAUAAUGUCGGGUGUAAAUUAUUCAGUUUUGGUUUUUUGUAGAGUCACGAGUCGAUCUUUUUGCCAAGAGACGGUCAAACAAGGCAUUCCAAAUAUUACUGAUUGUGUGAUGGCUGAACUCGAGAAGCUUGGACAGAAAUAUCGUGUUGCUUUGAGGCAAGUUAGUACAUUACUUUUUUCAAUAAGUCAUCAAACAAACAACGGGAAUAACAUACUAAUUACUUUGUUGUCUUGGUCAAAUAAAAUUGCUAAGGAACCUAUUUGAAAGGCUUCAUUGCACUCACAAAGGAACUUAUGUUGUUGACUGCUUUUGUUGAAAGUGUUAAUCAGCCCAACAAUCAACUCGAUAUCUAACGGUGUUUGAGGAUAGUCCUUCAUGUUGCAUGCUAUUUUCUUCCACCUUUUGAUCUUGAUGCUUUUUUCUCAAGAACUGGUAAAAGGUCGAGACGGUUUGGUUGAUUAACUUUUAGCUGUCAUAUUUCCAGUGGUUCAGAAACAGCAUCAGCUUCUUGUGACAUUGCUUCUGUGCAAUGCAGCUGCCAUAAAGGUAUUAAAAAAACAAGUUAAAGGAAAUCCACUAAAAGUCGCCCAAAGUGUAUUUAGUGAUGGCACAACCAGCUGGAAAUUCAUGAUGGCUGAGAGGAAAAGUGAAAGUUGUUUCAUCUGGGGACACGGUGAUUAUGGGAAUGACCAAAGUGGAAAUCCCGCCUGAGAAGACUGUUUUGUUGGCUCAUCUUUCGGCUCCAAGACUGGCACGUCGAGGUGGCCAGGAUGACCCGUUUGCAUGGGAUAGCAGAGAAUUUCUACAAAAGCUGUGCAUUGGAAUGGAUGUUGUUUUUAGAACGGAAUACACCAUCCCAAAUUUCUCUAGGGAAUUCUGUAGUGUUUUCAUCGGUACUACAAAUGUCGAAAAUGAGAUUGUCACUCAUGGCUGGGCGAAGGCUAAGGAGUUUAAGGGAGAGGUGACUCCUGAGCAUACUGAACUGUUACGCCUUGAAGAACAAGCCAGACAACAAGGCAUAGGUUUAUGGGACAGGUCCCCCGGUUCUGUUGAUGCUGCUAUCAGAAACCUCCCUUCGUCUGCUGUCGGUGAUCCCAACAAUUUAGACGCAAUGGGCCUCUUAGCUGCAAACAAAGGCAAACCGUUGGAAGCUAUUGUAGAACAAGUUCGUGAUGGGAGCUCGCUUCGCGUUUAUCUGCUUCCGAAAUUUCAGUUUGUUCAAGUAUUUGUUGCCGGAAUCCAGAUGUAGAGAAGCCUGAAGAAACGUCUAAAGAACCCGUAGAAUCAUAUGUGCCCAUUCCCAAAGAAGCAAUUCAGAACAAAAAGUGGCUAUCAAGAGUAUAUCUUGCUGGUUGCUGGCUCGACAUUCUGAACAAGAAUUAGACCUUUUAGGUUUGAGUUUUGAUAUUUGUUGUUUAAUGUCAGCAUGGCGUGCUUCCACCUUCUUAUGGGUCUUAUUUAACAGCUCCUUAGCUGACAAUGUUUUUACGCUUUCAACCACUCACUGACUCACACUCUAAUCAAUCAAAUUUAUUAUCUUCCAACAAGUUCAUGAAAAAGUCGUUAUGCUUAUAAAGUGUAAAGAAAGAAACACAUGGGCAUGGCAUUACACGAAAUCCUUUAUGGGUUUGAUUCAUAUUCCUUCAUUCUAACUAGAAAAGAGCUGGAGAUGUUACAUGACGCAUCACGCAUCACUAAUAAGCAUACAUUUGUUUUCUUUGUAGAGUGAAAAUUCGUUGGUUGAUAUACGGGUCGAUAUCGUUUCAUUACAACCCUUCACACCUAAGAAUUGAAAUUUCACCAGGUAGUUAAGCUCAACGAAGAUAACCAUGGCAUCUAGAAGCAAAAGAGAUGAAAAUUAAAUCAGCUUCGGAUGGAAGAAAAACGUAAGCAAAAUAUUAAACCUAUACCAAUCGGUUGUAAGCAGGCGCAUUUUUCUUUGAACCAUUAUAUACAAGUUUGUCCUUCAUCACCAUCUUUGGGCUUAAUCAUCAUCCUGAUUGAGGUUUCAGGACAAAAAAUUCACCGCGUAAAUCUUUAUUGUUGCUUCGAUUUUGAACUAAUUUGGUGCUGAUGAUGUGAAACUUUCUCGAGAACCAAAACCCCUUUUUUCCUCCACCAUUUCUCAAUGAAGUUAGUUUCUAUAGGGUAAACGCGGAUCCUAAGGUUACUUAGGUACAACGCAUUUUUCUUUGAAGUAACCUUCCUUUCUUUUGUUGCUUCUUCUAACCCAUCAUUGAAACCCUAAAAGAAUAAGACUACACAUCAUCAGGAAGCAAUCCUUAGCCGAUUCAUGGUGUUACUGUCGAUCGGAUCGUUAAUGAUUUUUAUUGUUUUUCAUAUGUAUCUGAUUGAUUGUUUUUAUUCUUCUUUGUUUGUACCAUGUUUGAACAAUCAAUUGUAUCUUAAAAUUGUUACAACUUAUUUGUUUGUAUCUGAACGAUGGUAUAUGAUUUUUAUUUUUCUUAAUUGCUA